rnacentral:tRNA from 1 species
GAGGGUAAAACUCAGUGGUAGAGCACAUGCUUAGCAUGCAUGAGGUCCUGGGUUCAAUCCCCAGUACCUCCA